rnacentral:ribozyme from 14 species
CAAGUUUUUUUUUGCUUUUUUUUCCUCCUCCUAUUUUUUUUUUUUUUUGCUUCUUCCUUCCCAGUACUUGUUGUCAUAGACAUUGGAGGUGUAGGUAGGUUGGUGAUGAAAUCAUAAUAAUAAUCAUAAAGAAGCAAGCAAGUUGUCAUUUUAUA